rnacentral:rRNA from 1 species
UACGAAGGGGGCUAGCGUUGUUCGGAUUUACUGGGCGUAAAGCGCACGUAGGCGGUUUGUUAAGUCGGGGGUGAAAUCCUGGAGCUCAACUCCAGAACUGCCUUCGAUACUGGCGAUCUUGAGUCCGGAAGAGGUGAGUGGAACUCCUGGUGUAGAGGUGGAAUUCGUAGAUAUUAGGAAGAACACCAGUGGCGAAGGCGGCUCACUGGUCCGGUACUGACGCUGAGGUGCGAAAGCGUGGGGAGCAAACAGG